ensembl:lncRNA novel transcript
UUUUUACUUAAACAUUAUCAGAGAGGUUAUGAAGACUUCCUGAAUGCUCAUUCAAGGUUGUACAAGAAGGAUGGCACCAGCAUCUGCAUCUGAUGAGGACCUCAGGGUGCUUCCACUUGUGGCAGAAGAAGGGGAGCCAGCAUGUGCAGAUACCACACGGCGAGAGAUGAAGGAAGAGAAAGAGGAGGAAGGUUCCAGGCUCUUUUUAACAAUCAGACCUCACAGGAACUAAUAGUGUGAGAAGAUGUUUAACAUAUUCUAAUAAGAUAUUCCUAAUAAACUGCCAUGAGAUAACUGCUGUA